UCUUUAAGCCAGUCGAACCUCAAAUGUUGGACAUCAACAAUACACGAAAUUUUCCUUUUCAGUAAAGUUCAAGUUCCUGUACGCAUGCCAUCCGUUGGAAGACAAGAUCUUUACAAAUAUCUGUGGAAGUCAGUUUCAAUCGGUCUCUAUGUGUUAAAUGGGUCCAUCCCCGUGUAUAGGACUGUUUCAGAGUCCUUCCAUAAGCCAAAAACCCUAGAGCACAACAAUGAGGGCUUUAAUGCACCAGAGCUAUGGAGGAUGAAACAAUCCGAUUCACGAAUUCAAUGAGGUUUUUGCAGAGGGUCAGGUGCAGGGAGUAGCACCAGCACCCUUAAAUCGUCCGAGUAAUGCGGCCUACACGGCAUAAGAAGAUUUGCCGGUUAGAUUACAAGGCUAAACAGAGCUAGAUACAAAGAACCCACUGCCGGAAGGUUUUAUACAUCAUCUACUUCCUUUGCAUCAUCUUUUUUAUAAUCUCAUAAAAGGUUCGAUGGUGAGACUAUAGUAUCAGAUCUCCUCACCCACAAAUUAAUAAUAUUCUAAUACUGCAAAGCGGAUGCAUAAUCUUUUUUCUGAAAACUACACAUGCUAUUCUGGUAGAUUGAAUUGAUCAGCUCAGUUUGGAAAGGUCUUCUGAACCUACCACCCAAUGGAAGCCAACAAAGAGAACUUGAUCAAAAUCUUAUUGAUCUAAUGAUCAUACCAUCAAAAUCAUAGAAUUUUUUGUUGGGCUAUAAUGUUCUUUAUGAUGAGUCAAAAGAGUGGAUAUUCCUUGUGCAGCAUUGCUUAGCAGGUUCUCAUCUAUUUGAAGUUCAGAAAGCAUAUUAAGCUCAUGAAGUUCAGGAGUGGCACC